rnacentral:rRNA from 1 species
UAUGUGAUCGUCUCUCGCAUAUCAAUAAGCGGAGGAAAAGAAACUAACAAGGAUUCCCCUAGUAACGGCGAGUGAAGCGGGAAGAGCUCAAAUUUGAAAUCUUAAAGGGUUUCCCUUUACGAAUUGUAGUUUAAAGAAGUGUUUUCUGUUGAGGUUUUGGUAAAAGUUCUUUGGAAUAGGACAUCAUAGAGGGUGAGAAUCCCGUAUUUGACCUUUACUUUCAACUUUGUGAUAACACUUUCAAAGAGUCGGAUUGUUUGGGAAUGCAGUCCAAAAUGGGUGGUAAAUUUCAUCUAAAGCUAAAUAUUGGCGAGAGACCGAUAGCGAACAAGUACCGUGAGGGAAAGAUGAAAAGAACUUUGAAAAGAGAGUUAAACAGUACGUGAAAUUGUCAAAAGGGAAGCGUUUGACACCAGUGUUGUUUUUCUGAAAAUCAAUUAAAGAACUGUUUAUGCUAAGCUGUUUAGACUUUAUCAGCUAACUGUUUAGUUUUGAGCUUUUCUUUAAUGCACUUUUCAGUUAACAAGUCAACAUCAAUUUCUUUUGCUGUAAAAAUGCUUGAGGAAGGUGGCUUGAGAUUCGUCUUAAGUGUUUAUAGCCUCUUGCCUAUGCAGUCGGAGAGAUUGAGGUCUGCAGCGUAGAUCCUUCGGGGCUAAAUGCAUUUGUGCUAAGUUAUAGCAUUUUAUAGACAACUUGUUGACUAUGAUUUGUCUUGUAGCUUACUCGCUUAUGUUAUUUUACCUACGCUUAGGAUGUUGACACACGCGCGUGCUCG